rnacentral:rRNA from 1 species
CAGCAGCCGCGGUAAUACGGAGGGAGCUAGCGUUGUUCGGAAUUACUGGGCGUAAAGCGCACGUAGGCGGCUUUGUAAGUUAGAGGUGAAAGCCUGGAGCUCAACCCCAGAACUGCCUUUAAGACUGCAUCGCUUGAAUCCAGGAGAGGUGAGUGGAAUUCCGAGUGUAGAAGUGAAAUUCGUAGAUAUUCGGAAGAACACCAGUGGCGAAGGCGGCUCACUGGACUGGUAUUGACGCUGAGGUGCGAAAGCGUGGGGAGCAAACAGGAUUAGAUACCCCGGUAGUCCCUGUCUCUUAUAC